UCCUCAUGUACGGACCCUGCAGGGCAUUGC
rnacentral:piRNA from 1 species